UAGGGAAUCUUCCGCAAUGGACGAAAGUCUGACGGAGCAACGCCGCGUGAGUGAAGAAGGCUUUCGGUUCGUAAAACUCUGUUGUUAGGGAAGAAAAAAUGUAUAGUAACUAUAUACAAAAGAGACGGUACCUAACCAGAAAGCCACGGCUAACUACGUGCCAGCAGCCGCGGUAAUACGUAGUUGGCAAGCGUUGUCCGGAAUUAUUGGGCGUAAAGCGCGCGCAGGUGGUUUAGAAAGUCUGAUGUGAAAGCCCACGGCUCAACCGUGGAGGGUCAUUGGAAACGAAUAAACUUGAGUGCAGGAGAGAAAAGUGGAAUUCCUAGUGUAGCGGUGAAAUGCGUAGAGAUUAGGAGGAACACCGGUGGCGAAAGCGGAUUUUUGGACUGAAACUGACACUGAGGCGCGAAAGCGUGGGGAGCAAACAGG
rnacentral:rRNA from 1 species